GCCAGCAGCCAUAUCACCCUGCAACUCACAACUGGCAACCCACUGAAGCUAAGCACGUGUGAGCCUGGUCUGUACCUGGAUGGGAGACCUCCUGGGAAAAACUAAGGUUGCUGCUGGUA
ensembl:rRNA 5S_rRNA 5S ribosomal RNA